CCAGCACGAAAAGGACGUGGCAAACAUAGCAAAGAAACCAACCAAAACGGCACUGGUUAGACAUGUAAGUACGACCAACCAUCAUUUCGAUUUCAACCGAGCUCAGAUUCUUCGCCAAGUACGCACCCGUGGCUUGCUGAAGAUACAUGAAGCCAAUCACAUCAUCUUAAACGAAAGCUCGGUCGUAAAUUUCAAAAAAGACGCCAAACAUGUCUCGCCGGUGGUAUACAACCUGAUCAAAGAGAAAAUGAUCGGCAAACGUCUACACAACCGUAACAUUCGAAAUACGACACCACGGCACACAACAACUGUCGAAAGCGAACAGUCCUAUGAAUCCGUGGAACAGAUGUUUCGUCAAUAAUGACACUUCGAAAUAAAAAUUCACGCCAGAUUGUUUAUAAACACAACCGUGAUAACAAAGUUUUUAUAAAUUUAGUCUAACCGCAAUUUGUGUGAUAUUUACAAUUUUAUAAGUUAACCCUGAAGAUGACCGGUCAAACCGGUCGAAUGCACGGUAGUAUCAACAAAUAAGUGUUUUCAUUUACGGUCGAUUGUGUAAGCAACACAACAACUGGAGGUCCUAACACCAUUCCCCCAGACAAACAA